AGGGUUGUAGCUCAGUGGUAGAGCACCUACCUAGAAUGUGUGAGGUACUGUGUUCAACCCUU
rnacentral:tRNA from 1 species